AGAGUUUGAUCCUGGCUCAGGAUGAACGCUGGCGGCGUGCUUAACACAUGCAAGUCGAACGAUAGAAGAUCGGUGCUUGCCCUGAUCCUAUCGAGUGGCAGACGGGAGAGUAACGCGUGGGUAACCUGCCUCAUACGGGGAAAUAACAGGUGGAAACCGGUGCUAAAACCGCAUAAGCGCACAGUAUCGCGUGAUACAGUGAGAACAACUCCGGGGGUAUGAGAUGGACCCGCGUCUGAUUAGCUAGUUGGUGAGGUAACGGCCCACCAAGUCGACGAUCAGUAGCCGGACUGAGAGGUUGAACGGCCACAUUGGGACUGAGAUACGGCCCAGACUCCUACGGGAGGCAGCAGUGGGGAAUAUUGGGCAAUGGGGGAAACCCUGACCCAGCAACGCCGCGUGAAGGAAGAAGGCUUUCGGGUUGUAAACUUCUUUUACCAGGGACGAAGGACGUGACGGUACCUGGAGAAAAAGCCACGGCUAACUACGUGCCAGCAGCCGCGGUAAUACGUAGGUGGCAAGCGUUGUCCGGAUUUACUGGGUGUAAAGGGAGUGUAGGCGGAGAAGCAAGUCAGAAGUGAAAUCCAUGGGCUUAACCCAUGAACUGCUUUUGAAACUGUUUCCCUUGAGUAUCGGAGAGGCAGGCGGAAUUCCUAGUGUAGCGGUGAAAUGCGUAGAUAUUAGGAGGAACACCAGUGGCGAAGGCGGCCUGCUGGACGACAACUGACGCUGAGGCUCGAAAGCGUGGGGAGCAAACAGAAUUAGAUACCCUGGUAGUCCCCGCUGCACACGAUGAAUACAAGGUGUGGGAGGAUUGACGCCUUCCGUGCUGCAGCAAGCGCAAUACGUAGUCCGCCUGGCGAGUACGUUCGCAAGAAUCAAACUCAAAGGACUUGACGGGGACCCGCACAAGCGGCAGACCAUGUGGUAUAAUUCGAAGCAACGCGCAGAGCGUUGCCCGCUCUCGACAUCUCCCUUCCCGGCAAGUACUGUUGCCUUUCCUUCGCGACAGGGAUGACAGGUCGUGCAUGGCAGUCGUCAGCUCGUGUCGUGUGAUGUUGGGUUAAGUCCCGCCACGAGCGCAGCCCCUAUCUUUAGUAGCCAGCGGUCAGACCGGGCACUCUACAGAGACUCCCAGGGAUAACCUGGAGGAAGGUGGGGAGGACGUCAAAUCAUCAUGCCCCUUAUGAGCAGGGCUCCCCACGUGCUCCAAUGGGGUAAACAAAGGGAGGCAGAACCGCGAGGUCGAGCAAAUCCCAAAAACAACGUCUCAGUUCGGAUUGCAGUCUGCAACUCGCCUACAUGAAGUCGGAAUCGCUAGUAAUCGCGAAUCAGCAUGUCGCGGUGAAUACGUUCCUCGGGCCUUGCACACACCGCCCGUCA
rnacentral:rRNA from 1 species